rnacentral:rRNA from 1 species
AUUGAACGCUGGCGGCAGGCCUAACACAUGCAAGUCGAACGAGUGGCGGACGGGUGAGUAAUGUCUGGGAAACUGCCUGAUGGUGGGGGAUAACUACUGGAAACGGUAGCUAAUACCGCAUACCAUCGGAUGUGCCCAGGUGGGCAUAGCUAGUAGGUGGGGUAAAGGCUCACCUAGUCGACGAUCCCUAGCUGGUCUUAGAGGAUGACGAGUCACACUGGCACGGAGAGACGGACCAGAGUCCUAAGGGAGUCAGCAGUGGCGAAUAUUGCACAAUGGGAGCACGCCAGAUGCAGGCAUGCCGCGUGUAUGAAGAAGGCCUUCGGGUUGUAAAGUACUUUCAGCGUGGAGGCGUUACCCGUAGAAGAAGCACCGGCUAACUCCGUGCCAGCAGCCGCGGUAAUUC